UACUCACCCGCACGGGGCCUAAUCUGCACAAUGAUUCCUCCCGUUGCAGCUCCUACCCUCAGCAGCAGUUUGGCCAGCAGGGGAACAUGUCGCCCUAUGGUGGAAUGAUGAUGAACGGCUCCAUGCCCAGCGGCGGGGGCGCCGGCGCUGCCAACAUGGGCCAGAUGCCGGGCCAGAUGGGCGUGAACCCUAUGGUCAUGGGCAGGAUGCAGAUGGGUCCCGAACAAAAGUACUGUUGAUGCCCCCAGCACACAUGGGAGGAAACCUCACUGUGAACCCAGCAGAGACCCCAGUGGUGUCUGGGUGCUUCACAAGGCCUGGUUGUGGGCGGGGCUACAUCUGGAUGCCGCCUCUUUGCAGCCGGGACAGCCCCCCCCCCUCACCCUCAGCACAUCGGCUGCUGAGCGAAAGCUUCUGUAAAUGGGACAGACUGUGUGGUGCGAAUGCUUUUAGCCUUUGAUCCUCAAGAUCUAUUUAUUUACCUGUCGGUGGGUGUUCUGGAGGAGCAGGAAGCUCGCUCUCCUGCAGGAUGGAGGUGGUUCCUCCUCCGCCUGCAAUGUGUAGAACACGUCUUGAUCCUGCGAUGAAGAGGCUCUGUUUCACAUGUACAAAAGUGUAGCAGUCAUGCAGUGUGUAGUCUUCACUGUGCAGAAACGCUCUUUGCUUUGGCCCCCGAUGGGCUACGGUACACAAAAAGAAUUAACGUUUUAGUGGUGAUUGCACUUUACAGAAAGGCUAAUGUUGAAAGGAUUGUUGCAAUAUUUCUUAGUCAUUAUAGCCUUAUUCAAGAAUCUUUUUAAACAGGACUUUAAUAAAAAAAAAAAAAAAAAGUAAUGGCAAGUAAGCACAGAUAUUCCUUUUAUUAUGCAGUUUUAAGCAAUAAACUUUCCUUCUAUGCUUGUAGACUGAUAGAAAUGGAGAAUCAUCAAUUCAGAGCAAAGGUACUGCAGUAUUACAUGUGAUGUCAAAUCUGGAAUUUUCCUGUCUGUGAAUAUAGAUUGUAAAUACGCUUGAAAUGUAUAUCUGCUUUUGUAGGUAACAUACUGUUUUUGCACAAAUUGUAAUGCUUAAUAUUUAAAGUAUACUUUUCUUAUUCUGUUUCUUUUAGGUCAAUUCAGCUUUUAUUUGUUAUUUUUAUUGUUUUGCUUGGGAGAAAGUGAGGGGGGGGGGGUGGAUUAUUCCUAUUUUCAUAUUUGACUUAUUCCUCAGCAGUAAAUCAGCCAUCUUUUUCGAGAACUGCACUUUUAUUUCUAAACUCUUUCCCCCAUUUCUGACAAAACAGCCUUGAUUUGUAAAGUGGUGCUUCUUAUUAUAUUUUGAGUUUAAAUUGUUCGGUUUUAAAAACAAAGAUUCUAAACACGGCAGCAUGAAAAGGGAGACAGGUCCCGCCUGCUCCCUGUAGGAAGAUGAUCUCUGAAAGUGCUCUACUGCACAGUUACAAACUCUCUCACGCCGUUUUGUUUAGAUGUUAUUUACCUUCUGUUAUGUGGGCACAGCCCUGAGGUAAAAUCCAUCGUCCCUGUACAGCUUCAUCGAGCUGGAAAACAACUGUCCUGAAAGAAAUAUGGGAGUGGGGGGGUGUUAACGGAACAGCUGGGGCUCUGCCAGACCAAGGAGAACUUGGUCCUCUCACUCAUCUUGUUUGUGAUUAUGGAACAACCUAAAAGUACAGCAGAGUCUAGGGACAGCUUUGGGGCUGCAGCUGUCUGUUUAUGGGUAAGAAGCCUGAGGCAAAGGCAGAACUGGGGCAGUACAUAAGAGGGAAUAUAAGGGGCGCUGGCCAACUGUUCCCCAUUAAUUUUUUGGUAAGAUCUGCACAAUCCAAAGACUCCCCAGAUAUAUUCUGGCUCACCCUGUACUCACAUGUUGAUAUGCACCUGGAGAUGCGUAUCACACACAAACACAUUUUGUAUUGUGUAAUAUUUACAAGAAAACACCAGGUUCUGAUCUGCAGAUAAGUGUGUUUCUUUUAAUCUCUUUAACAGCUGAUGGCCAGUGGGUGACUUUCUGUAGCAUCACAGGGAAAUUGUAAUUUUUCCAGACUAUUUGAUAAAGGUGUCAAUGUGGAUACAAGUACAAUUAAACUGACUAGGAGAAUCAUCCAAAUUAAAUGUUUUAGACAAAUCUGUCUUUGUGUAACUUGAUGUUUUCCAGAAGGGAAACUUUUUUUUUUUAGUUGACUGAUGGUAAGGAUCUACAAAUUCUUUAAUUACUUCAUGAAAUUGUCUAGAUUUUUGUCUUGGUGAAGUGAAAAAAGGAUAUAUCCAGCACAACAUUAGUCUGUGCUAAUGCCUUUGAUUCUUGAGAUUUGAAAAAGCCAAGUUUUCAUUUGGCGUUGUCUUGGUUAAAUAAAAAAGCAAUUGAAUAUGUUGUCAUAAUACCAGGAUGUAAAUUACAAUUGCGUUUGUUCUCUUGUUCCUUGAUGUUAAUAUUGAUGUAAAUACAAAUUUCUAUUUAAAUGUU